rnacentral:rRNA from 1 species
CUUCACUGCAACUUGGCACUGACGUUCGGAAUGAAUUGCGUAGGAUAGGUGGGAGGCUUUGAAACUGGGAUUCCGGUUCCGGUGGAGCCAACGUUGAAAUACCACCCUGCUCCUUCUGAACGUCUAACCUAGUCCCGUAAUCCGGGUCAGGGGCACUGUCUGGUGGGUAGUUUGACUGGGGCGGUCGCCUCCAAAAGAGUAACGGAGGCGCGCGAAGGUUCCCUCAGGCUGAUUGGAAACCAGCCGUAGAGUGCAAUGGCAUAAGGGAGCUUGACUGCGAGACCGACGGGUCGAGCAGGUACGAAAGUAGGUCAUAGUGAUCCGGUGGUUCUGUAUGGAAGGGCCAUCGCACGACGGAUAAAAGGUA